AUACGGAGGAUCCGAGCGUUAUCCGGAUUUAUUGGGUUUAAAGGGUGCGUAGGCGGCCAUUUAAGUCAGCGGUUAAAUCGUGGGGCUCAACCCCAUUCUGCCGUUGAUACUGGGUGGCUUGAUUGCGGUCGAGGUUGGCGGAAUUCGUUGUGUAGCGGUGAAAUGCAUAGAUAUGACGAAGAACACCGAUUGCGUAGGCAGCUGACCAGACCGCAAAUGACGCUCAUGCACGAAAGUGCGGGGAUCGAACAGGAUUAGAUACCCUGGUAGUCCGCACAGUAAACGAUGAAUACUUGUUUUCGGCGAUAUAAUGUCGGAGGCAAAGCGAAAGCGAUAAGUAUUCCACCUGGGGAGUACGCCGGCAACGGUGAAACUUAAAGGAAUUGACGGGG
rnacentral:rRNA from 1 species